UAAGAGUGACUGUCCAUUUAUCUCCAUUACAGUAGAUGGAUGCAGAGAGAUGGUCAAGCAGUGGCUAAGAUAUAUUAUUGAGGAGAAUAUAAUUGGAAAGGUUGCCAUAGAAUGAACUGUUUCAGUAUUAACUAAAGAAUGCAUUUGGUAGAAGGUUGGAAGUAAGUCUUAAAGAUUCACACUUAUAUCAGGAUUUUCUUCUUUUAAUGCUCUAGUUCAUAAAGUAGUCUACUGACUAAGUAAUCAAUCAUUAAUUUUCAAAGAUUCCUAUCAGGGAAGCAAAGAAAAAAAAGAGAAUGGAGACUAACAUACUCAAAAAUGCUUUAAAAAAACUAUCAUUUUAAUACAACCUAACUUGUAACCUUUUACGCCUUAAGAAAAAACAUUUUGAAAGUGUCACCAGAAGCACAGUAUCACUCAUUGAAAAUAAGUAAAAUAGUUUUUACAAGUGGCUCUAAUUAGCCACCCUCCUGCAACUGAAGAACAAAGCUGUUUUUAGUCCAUAUCACCCACAAUGUUGUCUUCCCUCAACAUUUUUGUUCUUUGUCAUGAGCACGUUAGAGCUCCCUUGUUCCAGAGUUAAUACCAAUUCUUCUAGGCAGGAUUUCCUAUAGCUAGGAUAAUUAAGAAAUUUCACUUGUCAAUCAAAGAAGUCAUUUUCAGAUACACAAUGAAGUCGUUUUGCUAGAGAGAUGAAAAACUACAUUUUGUCUGCAUUAAAUAGUUUGAAAAGUAGCCACAUGGUCUUUCCAAAUAAUACUUUUACUCUAGAAUGUCAGUGAAAGGAGAGAAGUUCUGUUAGCAUGUGAGUUCUAUUUGACUUUCACCGUCAGAAAACUUAUCUAACCCUAAAAUUCACAACUUCAUCCACUAAGGAAUAAUGACUCUUAAUAAAUAAACGUAAUUUACAUCUAAGUCUCUAAUCAUUUUUUCCUCCUUUAUCAGUAUGGAGUAGGAAGCCAGUAUUGUUUGGGGACAGAUACAAAAGUGCUUAAAAUCACAGUUUAUAUGAAAUAACUUAUUUCAUUCCCUUAAAAUCAAAGUAUGCCCCUUUAUUUCAAGGAAUCUAAGAUGAAGCACGCCAACUCCAGCUUACCUUCUGCACGCAAAUCAGAUUAUCACUGGGGAGCAUGGAGGAUGAAAACGAGUCUGACCAGCCUUCCUUCAUCAGGCCAUUUAAUGGCAUCUCUGUGUGAUGGAUGAUGUGAAUUAGCAUUCCCCAUUUCCACUCCAUUCUCCUCCUGGCCGGAGAUGUCGAAACUACACUUCCCACAUGCUCUGGAAACUACAUUCUCAGUGUAAACUAGGAUGGAUGAGAUUUGGAAGGAGGAAGUGAGAUGAGAGUCCUCUGCCUUCCUCUUCAGCUCUUCCUAUUGGAAAGCCAAGUCUUGGAGAUGUUAGCUUUUCCUAUCCACUUCUCCAGUAUCCUCCAUCCCAGGAGAUUAGAGGCUACUGCAGCAGCUGCAGCACUGGCUCCCUAUCCCCGGAUCGUGCUGCAGGGGACAUCUUGAAAUCACAAUGCCAGUGGAGGCCUUGAAGGUAGGUCUCCUAGGGACUCAGUCCUGUUUCAUUCCUGGUGGGAGGCAUUCCCGAACCUAGUGUUCACUUUUUGUUAACAUCUAAUCCUCUGUAUUAAAUUCCUUCCUGCUUAAAACAGAAGAUCAUUUCUUCACUGAUCCUUCAUUGAUGCACUGCCUGUUCUUUCAAGGAAAGAGCAA
ensembl:lncRNA